GGGAGGCAGCAGUGGGGAAUUUUGGACAAUGGGCGCAAGCCUGAUCCAGCAAUGCCGCGUGAGUGAAGAAGGCCUUCGGGUUGUAAAGCUCUUUUGUCAGGGAAGAAACGGUGAGUCCUAAUACGGCUUGCUAAUGACGGUACCUGAAGAAUAAGCACCGGCUAACUACGUGCCAGCAGCCGCGGUAAUACGUAGGGUGCAAGCGUUAAUCGGAAUUACUGGGCGUAAAGCGUGCGCAGGCGGUUAUAUAAGUCAGAUGUGAAAUCCCCGGGCUCAACCUGGGAACUGCAUUUGAGACUGUAUGGCUAGAGUGUGUCAGAGGGGGGUAGAAUUCCACGUGUAGCAGUGAAAUGCGUAGAUAUGUGGAGGAAUACCGAUGGCGAAGGCAGCCCCCUGGGAUAACACUGACGCUCAUGCACGAAAGCGUGGGGAGCAAACAGGAUUAGAUACCCUGGUAGUCCACGCCCUAAACGAUGUCUACUAGUUGUCGGGACUUAAUUGUCUUGGUAACGCAGCUAACGCGUGAAGUAGACCGCCUGGGGAGUACGGUCGCAAGAUUAAAACUCAAAGGAA
rnacentral:rRNA from 1 species